rnacentral:lncRNA from 1 species
UUUCACUUUUGUUUACUCUCUCAAAUCCUCUUUCAUAAUUUCUCGAUCUCACUCACUCAGCCCUCCUCUCAUUUCUUCUCUCUCUCUCUCUCUCUCUCUCUCUCUCUCUCUCUCUCUCUUGCACCCAUAUCGGCGACAGUCAUUGUCACCUCCUCAGAAACCCUAACCCACAUCGGCGACGACGACCUUUCCACCUCCAUCUCUCACUCUCUGUCACCUCUUUCAACCUACAUGCUUAGAGAUGGCGUCUCAGGUAGACAACUUGGCUUUUCUCCUACACAUUUGGGUUUGGAUUUUUGGUGCUUGAUGUGAGUUCAAGUCCCUCCAAGUCAAAUUUGGGUGCGAUUAAAUAGAAAUUUGUUGAAACAUAAUUGUGGGUUUAAUUUAUAAUUUUACUCUCUUUGUUUACAAUUAAUAUUUUCAGCUUGUGUAGAUAAUGUUAUUUCAGUGGGAUUAUACAAGAACUUUUUGAACCAAAAUUUUGAGAUAGUGCAACAAAUAUUUCUCUGUUUGUCUUAAGGAAUAUUAUGCUUGAAGCUUGUCCAAUCUACAAUGAUUUUGAAGAUUUUCUUUUGCUUAUUGAAUUCGAUUACUGAGUUAGGUUUUUAUUCUUACAAAAAACAUUGAAGAAACAUAGUUAUUUGGUUCAAUGGUCUCUUGGUUCAAUGAUCUGAAUUUGUUUGUUCUGUUUUGGGAUGUGAUUUUUGAAUGAACUACAUAAAUUGAUUAUGUCUUGAGGUGGAGGAUAUCUCCAAAAUUGACUGUGGAGUUUGUAAGUUUUAUGAGAAUGCCAAUAUUUUAACAUAAGUUUGAUACUGUAAAGUUGGCAUAUGUUGGUGUUCACCCGUUUUCGCGUUCACUCCUGUGAUGGAAGGGCGAAGUUCCCCACUGGCUUGGAGACCAUGUGCUGGUCAACAAGUCAGCUUUCUUUGGUGUGCGAGCGUGCCACUGCUAGCGACGUGAAUCCUAGCAGACUUCUUCUAGAAUAGAUAACUUGCGCCCCAAGUUACCGACUUCUAAAAACAAACGAUUGUGAAUUUGGGUGAGGAAUAUCUCCCAAGUAAGUUCUUUUCUUGCCUCAGACUGGUGAGGACUUUCACAAUUUAUCUCAGCAUCAAAUGGCUAUUCUGGCCAGAAAUGUUUGAUAGAAGUUGGGCUGUCUCAGGCAGAACUGCCUUUUACAAGAUAAUAAAUAUGCAUGCUGACUCUAGAAAGGUUAAAAGAUGGCCUGAACUCCGUUUCUGCUUGGAUGGAAGGUUCCAAUUUGGGCUGGACUGGACGCGUCUGGGUCGGUCCGUACUGCUUUGUGACUUCAAAUGCUCGGCUGACCUGCAAAUCGAUGCCAAAGUUGGAUUUUGGCAGAGCUUUAUGUUUGCUUCACGCUUCGUGAGGAAUUUUGAAUGGGCAGAACUGCAGCUUCCUUAGUUUGAAAGGGACAGAAGUGGCUAUUCUCGAUGGUCUGAUGAGCUAGGGUUUGCACUACGAGAGUUGUUCUGCUUGGGCAGGACUCUUCAUGAGUUCGCUAAGGUCUCCACGUCUGUGAAAACUCAAACUCUGCUUGUCUUGGCUUUUGCUGAACCAAAUUUGUAACGAGAGAUCUCAUUUUAGAAGACUUAUUCUCUAAGUCUGGACUUUGGGAUUCUGGUCCAAAGCUGGUUUUUCUUGGGAUCCAAGUGAGCUUUUGGCUGUUUUCUUGUUGUUGUUUUUUUUGAUUGAUGAAUUGAGUGUCCUUUUCUUUCUUGCCUACUUCUGUUUUUAUAAGAGACCUUCUUUUGGAGGUGGUUUAAAUUUUAAUAAUGGGCGGCAACAAGAUCUCCCAAAAUGUAAAGCAGGAAAGAUUUUUAUCAAUAGAUAGGCUCCCAGUAGUCACUUCCUAGAGCAAUCCCUUCCCUGGUUUCCUGGGUGACAGCUUUCUAUUUCAAUGACAACGUCUGCGUGGGCUGAUUUUAUGGCGGUUUGAUUUUUUUCUUUUUGUAUUUUCUGAACAACUUCCUGUUUCUUGCUUUUGAAAGCGUGACCUGUGAAAUCCUUGGAAGAUGGUGUGUUGCCUUGGAGCAAAAGAAAAAAAAUCCCUGAACAUAGAUGAUUUUUUUCUUUUUGGCAGUGUUUCAGAGACGUCUCUUCUCAUAUAAAAAACUCUAGUUGGAAUUGCUGACUUUUCAAAGGUGAGGUAGCCACGUGGGUGUGUUUUUAGUCUCUUGGGUUUAAGCCUAAACAACAUUCGUGGGCUGAUCCUUGAAGCCCAAAUGACAGCUUUCCAUGUUUGGGUCUUUUUUGGGGCUGGGUAAGUAAUUUCACCAUGGGCCUGUUUCUGGAUUUCUUUGGUGUGCCAAAUUUAGGCCCAAACAAUUGGAUCUUGAUUUUCUCUAUUUUUCGUAAUUCAAUCUUGAAUAUGUUUUUGGUGCAGUCUAUAGUCCUCAAGGUUGGUAUCAUGCCAAGGUUGUGUUGGUGCCUUGAAAAGGGUUCUUGGAAAACUUGAAGGUUUGUUGAUAGCUCUUGCAUUUAUCCAGUUCCAUUGUCUUGCUAUUCUUCUUCUCUGAGACUGUGCUUUUUCAACUGUUUGAACAAUGCCAAAUGAACUAUUGAUGAUUUCCUGAUUUAUAUUUUUAUUCACCUGCCAAGACACACAUUCACUUCGCCCAUGUUUAUAAUAAUUUUUAUAUUGCAAUUGAGUAGUACGAAAUUGUGUGCAUGAAUGUGAACUUUAAUUUUGCAAUGGUACUAUCUUGUGAAAGUUUGCUAUAUGAAUAAUUGGGUCAUUUAGAAAAGCCAACAAUCUGUAUAAAGAUAGGAUUCUUGAAGGUCGUCCUUCACUGGAGAAAUCAUAGAUAGAUUUCUCAGAGGUAUAUAUAACUCAGCAAACUUAAACCUCAGCUUUUAAAUGAUGUAUAUCAUAAUUUAUUUUUCUUUCUUCUAUUAAAAAAAUGUAUAUCAUACUGCAGUUUUACAUUUAUCCACUCUAUUUGUUAUAGUGCAUGUAAAUGUAUGUCUAUGAUACUUGUAGUGCUUGUAAAUAUGUAUUAACUUGUUUUGGUAUUGGUUUCUGAAUCUGGUACUGCUUUCUAAAUUUGUUUUAGUCUUGGUUUAUGUUAUGAAUUUUGGAAUUGGUUUCUGUUUUGAAAUUGGUUUCAGUUGUGAUUGAAUAUUAUGUUUUUGUUUCCAUUGUGAUUGAAUGAUUUGCUUCUAAUAUUCAUUUUUGAUCCGUUUUAUACAGAUGGAAGAUUGUCUUGUUUCAAGUGGCAGCGUUCUCUUGGGGAGGAAAUUGCUAACUUUCAGCUUAAAUUCGAUUCUAAGAGGAAAUGUCGUCGAAUUUUGCUAAUGUGUUCAAAUUCCCAACCAAGAGGAGAUGUAAAUUUAUUUUUUUUUGCCACUUUCUUAUGUAUAUCUUAAGAUGUAAUGAGAUAACAUUGUUAGUUCAUCAAUUUAUGAANNNNNNNNNNAAAAGA